UACAGAGGUCCCAAGCGUUGUUCGGAUUCACUGGGCGUACAGGGAGCGUAGGCGGUUGGAUAAGCCCUCCGUGAAAUCUCCAGGCUUAACCUGGAAAGUGCAGAGGGGACUGUUCAGCUAGAGGAUGGGAGAGGAGCGCGGAAUUCCCGGUGUAGCGGUGAAAUGCGUAGAGAUCGGGAGGAAGGCCGGUGGCGAAGGCGGCGCUCUGGAACAUUUCUGACGCUGAGGCUCGAAAGCGUGGGGAGCAAACAGG
rnacentral:rRNA from 1 species